GAUGAACGCUGGCGGCGUGCCUAAUACAUGCAAGUCGAGCGAACGGACGAGAAGCUUGCUCUUUUGACGUUAGCGGCGGACGGGUGAGUAACACGUGGAUAACCUACCUAUAAGACUGGGAUAACUUCGGGAAACCGGAGCUAAUACCGGAUAAUAUUUUGAACCGCAUGGUUCAAAAGUGAAAGACGGUUUUGCUGUCACUUAUAGAUGGAUCCGCGCUGGAUUAGCUAGUUGGUAAGGUAACGGCUUACCAAGGCAACGAUGCAUAGCCGACCUGAGAGGGUGAUCGGCCACACUGGAACUGAGACACGGUCCAGACUCCUACGGGAGGCAGCAGUAGGGAAUCUUCCGCAAUGGGCGAAAGCCUGACGGAGCAACGCCGCGUGAGUGAUGAAGGUCUUCGGAUCGUAAAACUCUGUUAUUAGGGAAGAACAUAUGUGUAAGUAACUGUGCACGUCUUGACGGUACCUAAUCAGAAAGCCACGGCUAACUACGUG
rnacentral:rRNA from 1 species